AGUUCUGACAUUUCAUCGAUUCAACUGGUUGUUGCCAAAAAGCCUUGUUCAUUACCUGACUGCAGCAAGCACUCUUUUACUGGGUGUAACCAUAGGAAACAGUCUCUUUUGAGCCUCUCUUUGUAAGUCCAGGAUGACCACCGUCAUUGAUUAAAGUUCACAUGUUAGCACACAUGCUCCCCCUUUUGUACUUUGUUUCAUCAGCAGCAGGGCAAAUAAGUUUCUGCCUCUUUGUCCAUCUUGUAGUGCUCCCCGUCUUGAUGUUAUAAGUCACAGUUUUUGGUGAGGGCUUCCAGGUUCUCUUUGUAUAGAAGUCAGACCCAAACAUUCUUUGCAGCUGGUUGUGACAGGCCCACCCAGUAAAGUUCAUGCCCGCCACAAUGCACAGCAAACGUUUUCCUUAAAUAUGUUGAUUGAGUUGAAAUGACAGAACUUUCUCUUUUACAAAUCAAAAUCAACGAUGGUUUCUAAUAUUUAGUCGACUUUAUUGACUCAAAAAUAAAUCUGAACUACUUCCUAUGCACAAUUUGUUCUGAAUCAUCAAAUCAGUUCUACACAGGUUUUAAACAUUAAGCACAAUCUAUCCCAAAUGCAAGAUCCCUCCUUUCAUUUUUUAUUUAUCUAUUUUAUUUUGGGAAAAUAACUACCAGUUUUUAACUCAAAACAGCCUAGUACAGUUUCUAGCCAGGUUACAGGAAAUAAUACUUAGUUUAUCUGUUUUUUCAUUAUUCAGCGUCCCAAAAUCCAGCCAUUAACGUUAAUGGUUCUUAAAGUUGAGGCAAGACAAUUAUUGGAUUUUGUUUUAUAGCAAGAUUUAACAAAUAUUUUAUUUCCUUACUGAUUAUUUGUUAAUUUUAUGGUUUUCAUAAAGAUGAUCCUGAGAGGUUCAGAGCUGCUUUUCGCAGCACCCUGUGCUAUUUUUAGACUGCGGAACUCCUGUGUGUAAAAGUGGGUGGAGUCAGGUCCCCAGGCUGAAACUCCAGUCAUUCUCACUAGAUCUGUCCGAGAGGAAGGAUCUCCUGAAUACCCUAACCAGAAGCCUUAAGUCUCUCGAACUAAAUAACCGUCUAGUAAAAACAUGGACCGCACCCUGUUUCUCAAGCAGCUGCUCCCUCUAUUAAAAACUGCGUCAUUCAGAAGAUCCAGCGAAAGCAGCAUUUACUUCUCAUGCAAGAAGACACACAUUCACUCAUUCACAAGGCACAGAGACAUUCUUUGUUUGUCACAGUCUCUUUUUAUUAUUAUUAUUAUUUUUUUAAAAGUAAGUCAGUUCGUCACUUAUUUAUUCUCUCUCUAUAUAUAUAUAAUAUUUUAAGCACAGAAUUUAUUUAACACUGCACUGGUUAUUUUCAGAAUUUAAUGCUUACUAUGCUUUUAAGCAGGCCUUAUGUAACAUUAGAGCAAAUCCAAUUGCAAUUUUUUUUUGAGAGCGCUCUGAGGAAUAGUUUAUAUAUUUAUUUUCUGCAGAUCUGUUUUGAUUUUACUGUUUAGCAGCUAUAUGACUAUAUUUCUAAAAUAAAGCUGUCAUUUACAUCCUUA